rnacentral:lncRNA from 1 species
UGAUAGAUAUGAGUCCCACCCAAGGCUGAUAGCACUAAUUCCAAAUCUGAUAGUACCCACUCAUCGACAUAAAGCUAUUAAAUCAUACCCACACUCAAGUUCACACAAACUUUCAUAUACCAUGUUUCAACUAUCAUUUCAAACUAUCACAUACCUCAUGCCAAACUCAGAUAAAUCCUUAGUCACUCCAAUAAUUCUAUGUACUAUAAGCUCAUAACAUCUAUUCACCGUUAAA